UACGUAGGGGCCGAGCGUUGUCCGGAGUUAUUGGGCGUAAAGCGCGCGCAGGCGGCCCCGCGCGCCCGACGUGAAAGCCCCCGGCUUAACCGGGGAGGGUCGUUGGGGACGGCGGGGCUUGAGGGCGGGAGAGGUCGGUGGAAUUCCCGGUGUAGUGGUGAAAUGCGUAGAGAUCGGGAGGAACACCUGUGGCGAAGGCGGCCGACUGGGCCGACCCUGACGCUGAGGCGCGAGGGCGUGGGGAGCGAACGGG
rnacentral:rRNA from 1 species